UCAAACUUGGUCAUUUAGAGGAAGUAAAAGUCGUAACAAGGUCAUCGUAGGUGAACCUGCGGUGGGAUCAUCAAUAAUUCAUAUAAACCACUUAUAUGGUGUGAACUAGUGCUGAAUUUGUUAACGAGGUUUUCUUUCUUUCUGAGCGCAAGCUUGGGAAGAGAGAGGCUUCAUAUUUCUGAGUAUUUCUUCGGAGAUGCUCAGAACAACCGCACUUAACAGUGUUUUUAAUGGCCAACAACAAAUGUCUAUACGGUGGACUCGUAAGAGAAAGCCAGACAAAAAAUUUAUAUGUAAACCAAGCUGUCAUGGCAUGGAAUAACAAUAUAAAACUAUUAAUGGUGGAUCACUUGGCUCUCGCAUCGAUGAAGAACGCAGC
rnacentral:misc_RNA from 1 species